GAUCCUGGCUCAGGAUGAACGCUAGCUACAGGCUUAACACAUGCAAGUCGAGGGGCAGCAUGAUCGAAGCUUGCUUGAUGAUGGCGACCGGCGCACGGGUGAGUAACGCGUAUCCAACCUUCCCUAUAGUAGAGAAUAGCCCGGCGAAAGUCGGAUUAAUGCUCUAUGUUGUAUUUAGAGGACAUCUGAAGAAUACCAAAGGUUUUACCGCUAUAGGAUGGGGAUGCGUCUGAUUAGGUAGUAGGCGGGGUAACGGCCCACCUAGCCGACGAUCAGUAGGGGUUCUGAGAGGAAGGUCCCCCACAUUGGAACUGAGACACGGUCCAAACUCCUACGGGAGGCAGCAGUGAGGAAUAUUGGUCAAUGGACGGAAGUCUGAACCAGCCAAGUAAGCGUGCAGGAUGACGGCCCUAUGGGUUGUAAACUGCUUUUAUAUAGGGAUAAAGUCGGGGACGUGUCCCCGUUUGUAGGUACUAUAUGAAUAAGGACCGGCUAAUUCCGUGCCAGCCGCAGC
rnacentral:rRNA from 1 species